UUUAUCAACUCAUUAGAAUGGACCGGUGAUGUUGGACGUGGAAAAUAAGGAAUGAUAUGCAAUCAACGUGUAGCAAAACAUCGAAUAGUAAAAUAACUGCGAAGCCCUCUGACAGAGCAUUUGUUGGCAGGUUACAGCUGGAAAGCCCAGUUGCACGUAGCUUGAGCAUAUUUAAUUAUGCAUCAGCGUGUCUUAUGAAUUUAUCAAUGCUUUUACUGGCGCUUCAUACAUUAGCAGCAAGUCACACUACAUCGUCAAAGCCACAUGUCUUUUGGCACAGCCGCUGUUACGAACAACUGCGUACUGUUUACACUAGAUAUUAGUAUGUAUGUCCUUACUGAGGACAGGCCGUCAAUCUUCAGUCUACGACUUGUUUCGACACUGCCUUAUUGCUCAAUGCCGUAACCGUACUGAUUCGCAAAUAAAAUGGCCAUUCAACUCGGUCUUUGACGAAACCGAGUUAUGUAAUGGAGAACCUGUGAACCAAACCAGCCCACAGCAACGGCAUCUACGAUCUCAAACAGCGUUUCUACUACCGGUAGCGCCGUAGCAUCAGCCCCUUUGCUUCUGCGAGCGAAUAUUUCAUUCCGCCUACAAGUAUUCGUGGCUUUCAAGGCUGCUUAUUCCUGAUGGGUGAAAAAGCAAGUUGAUUGGUAGGCACGCGUCGGCCUAUACGCGGCAGGGCAAGAGGAGAUCAGGUUAAAUUAGGAGUCGGGCCGGACUCUUAGUUGCUCCGUGUAUAACUCUGUUGAGUGCGCUGUACCCGUUAUACGUUCGAGUGCUAUACGUUAGGUGAGAGAUUUAGGAGUAGCUCCGAGGGCCCGAAGCCGAGGGAAAGCUUGGCGAUGUAGACAAGAGUCCACUUCCUCUCUCUCGCCUUGCAAUCAGCAGCUUGUGGAGAGUGACGUUCGGGUGGUUGAGAAGUCUAAUUAAAGUCCACCGGUAGUUGCACGGACAAGAAAGACCAAUAGUCAACAGAGGAGCGGGAAGGUAAAGACAUGUAACAUUUGCAUAGAUACCGAGCAGAACACAUAGCAGGGGAGGAUACAGCUGACCGCGGUAGCAGCUGCGAUAGCGGCAAGGGUUGGGACAUGCAGCAUCCACUUCCGCUCACCCUUUGACCUGUCCCCGGUACCUUUUCCCGCAUCCUAAUGUGGGAAGAGCAACUCGAUCUCACAGAAGAGCGUAUAUUAUAGUUCAACUUCCUUAAUGAUGCUGCUUUUGUUGAGGUAACCAAUGAUACAUGGCUGAGUAACGAUCCCUUGUCUUGAAGUCGAUAGUGGAUGUGCGUCCAGCGCGAAGUAAGAAGAUGCUAGCCUGUUUCAUGUUCCAUUCUUAACUUUGCUAGUGGCUUGCUUGUAGGAGCAUCGUUAGAAAGGACAUAAUUGUUAGAGAGCAUGCAGAAUCAGAGCGAACAAGAGUUACAAAACCAGCGGUAUUUAGCUAAACGCACCAAAAGUGGAGGGGGUUUAAAUGAAGAGAAUGUUGGCUGUUGCUCCUUCAAAGCCUCACAAGAUCCCGAGAUACCCAACAAGAAGUGCGAUAAGGAGGGACGGGGGGAAGGCAAGACAGGUGGCUGUUUGAGAAGGCCGACUGGCCAUCACAAAGUGCCAUUUUCAACGAUCAAGCUGGCAAGGGAUUCCAGUGGUCAACAGCCACAGACCCGAGUGAUGUCGAUUUGCUACCACUGUUACCCCGUUCGUCUGCCUCUUCAGCGGUUUUCGCGGUGAUGGAGGGAUCAGAGGGUACCCUUCUGUGUUCCUACUCUCUGAACUAUUUUUUUUUGGUUGCAUUGUUCCUUGUCACUGCCUCAUCAUAAUAGGUGCAUUCGGGGUUUGGUUCUGCUAGCUGCUUCUGCAGGCGCUACUUUUACUGCUCCUCUCGCCAUUGCUGAUAGCACUGAAAAAACAGUGAGUAGAAGCGAAUAUCGGCCGACAGUUACGCUUGGAAUCUUCGCAGAUCUGAAACCAAAUUAAGAGAUCCGUACCAGACGGUCCUGGCUGAUGAAGGAGGGAGCUUAUCUGGAUGCGGAACGGUGAAGGGGAAAGCGGCACUUGUAUGGAACAAAAUCAACGUGCCCUUAUAAUGAUGUUCCUUUGUGCAAAAACAGGUGAAAUGCUCAAUAGUUAACGCGAGGUAUUCACUACGUUCCCUGUAACGGAAGCAUUUUAACUUAAUAGGAUACAUCUAAAAGAAAAUUGAACAAUAAGAAGAUAACAGAACCGAGCUGUAGAAUGGACCAUGUGCAAGGCGUAGAAUCUUCAAUUUCGAUCAAUUUUCAAGCUCUAUGCAAAUGUUUUUCUUAAUCAGAAAACAGAUAGACGUUGAAGAGGGCGUAAACAACGAGCUGGUUUAUAGCUUUUAGAUGGGAACAUUCGCGCGGCUGCGGGCAUUCUAGCAAAUUGAAAAGAAACGUGUCUCGCUUGUGAAGUGUUGUUCUGAAGAGACAUAGCGUUCGAACACUUCCCGUUUUCGCUUCUCACAACAGGCAAAAUAUUAUCCUAUUUGCAAACUGUCUGCCUUGUAAGUGGGUCGCAAUCUACAAGGCCGUUUGGAGAAUUCGACCGACCGACCGACCGACCGACCGAGAGACAGACGGAGAGCGAGAGGGCAAGAUGAAAACGACGGCACUGUUGCAUACGAAAGUGGAGU